GACGAACGCUGGCGGCGUGCUUAACACAUGCAAGUCGAACGGAAAGGCCCUGCUUUUGUGGGGUGCUCGAGUGGCGAACGGGUGAGUAACACGUGAGUAACCUGCCCUUGACUUUGGGAUAACUUCAGGAAACUGGGGCUAAUACCGGAUAGGAGCUCCUGCUGCAUGGUGGGGGUUGGAAAGUUUCGGCGGUUGGGGAUGGACUCGCGGCUUAUCAGCUUGUUGGUGGGGUAGUGGCUUACCAAGGCUUUGACGGGUAGCCGGCCUGAGAGGGUGACCGGCCACCUUGGGACUGCGAUACGGAGCAGACUCCUACGGGAGGCAGCAGUGGGGAAUAUUGCACAAUGGGCGGAAGCCUGAUGCAGCAACGCCGCGUGCGGGAUGACGGCCUUCGGGUUGUAAACCGCUUUCGCCUGUGACGAAGCGUGAGUGACGGUAAUGGGUAAAGAAGCACCGGCUAACUACGUG
rnacentral:rRNA from 1 species